GUUACUUAACCUAUUAUGAUAAUAAAUGACAUUCUUUAAACAGGAUUUUCAAUGUAUAGUAACAUCCUUUUCAAGUUGAUUGUGUUCUUAUCAGAGUAGUAUCUGAUUGUAAAUAUUGUCAGUUUUAAGGAUGUAUAGCUAAUGAAUGUAUAUGUCAGCAUGGCAGCAGUCCAUAUGAAAUCUAUCUUCAUAUAGAUAUACAGUAUGCUCAUUUGCAAUUCCAACAUGACAUACAACAUGGCAGACUGAACAAUUCACAUAUGAUCUGCACCUCUGUCUUUCCUUCUGCGUAAGAAGGACCUCUAUUUAAUAGACAGUGAGUAAAAACAAAGAAAAAUAAGCGACUCAUCAGAGAUCCCAUAGGAAGUCUGGUGCAGAACUUCAGGAUUUGCACCAACGGCUUAAUCAAAGAAAUAAAUCGUUCCACGAUAAUGGUAGAGGCUGUGCACAGUAGCCUUCUCCCCAUGAAUAAUAAAACAAGACAAGCCUCACGAGCUGAGCACAAACAAGAAUCCUUCACACUGGAGAGGACUGUAAAAUUACAAAGCUAAUUCACCUGAUGCCCGAGAGAAAUCUGAACUCCUGUUUCCCAGGAGCCAGGCACGGUAGUGAACACCCACUCCUGGGUGCCUGCAGCUGCAGAGCGCCAACGUUCUGAGCCUAGUGCACAGAGGAACCCUUCCCAAACUAACUUACACUGCGAUGGCUGGUUAGCAACACCUAAGUUUUACAGCCAGAUAGAUUCCAGCUCUGUGCUAGGAGGGGUUGUCCACAUGCAACCAACUGCAGCACUCAGUCCCAUGUCAUUAUUUGAUCACAUUCCUUCUCAAUUACCAUUUUUUUUUAACAACGAAGAGACAAUCUAGCAAUGGAAACCCAUUCUUUGAACAACUCCUGCCAUUUUUCUCAGAUGUAAACUACUGCUAUGUAAGCCAUUCCCAAUUAAUAACGGGCCCCCAUGGAAAAGCCACUGCCUGUCUACUGAUUUCAUUUCCUACAUCUUCUCUUGUUAAAAUCACAAUUCAACUCUCCAAAACGCAAGGGCAAAAGAUCCUUUGUUUCAUCUUCACAAGAUGACAGUGUUUUUUCCCUUGCCAUUUUCUUGCAGGAAGAUAUAUUAGCACUACAUUUGCUCCUCCAUGCGGUGGGAUUUCUUAAAUAAAAACGUAUGUUAUAUAUGGAUGGACUUGGAACUGGAGCUGCAUUAGCCUAUUAACUAUCCACAUUUGCUUCAGACUUGGCCAGCCACCUAGAAAACCUGCCAAGACCUUUCUGGCAGCCUUUUCCCAACAGUUCCAGGAAAACAUGGAAUAUUCAAAGAAUUUUAGGGCCUCCCGGCUUCGUUUGUCACCACUCUCCUUGCCCACUUAUUACUAAAUCACAGGCAAAUUGCUCUAAUGCCCUAUUAAAGAUUUAAAAGCGGCCUUCUCCACAGCGGGGUAUACGAGGACAAACCCACGCUCGCACGGCCGCUGUCUGUGCUCAGGCAGGCCGUGAGGCCUCGCAGUGAGGAAGGGGACUGCCUGACCAACUCCAAAGUUCACGACUGAAUUCUCCCAUGUUAGGAGAUGUUAAAGCUCUCUCAGACACCCAGACAAAGGAGAGAUUCGUUUUCUCCUCAGCGUUACGCCGACAAAUUGCCGUUGAGGUUUCGUGUGCCUGCGUCGUAUAGGCCGCAAACAAAUGGUGCAUUGCACCAGGACUCACUCACUGCCCCAUGGGCCUCAGGGCACUGCUUGACCAAUGCCACAGGGACAGGCUGGAGCCCCAUUGCCUACAGCUUGCCUGGGAGCCAUCUUAAAGCCUCACAGCAACCAGGUGGCAUGAUUCUACACCAAGAUUCAGAGCAGGAUUCACGUGCACUGCAACUGCAAUCCUCUGCUUUGCAAUCUAAGUGAGGAUCACAGCACAACAGCAAAAAGAAAGGAAUCCUGCUUUCGCAUGCAUGAACUAAGCUAUUCCUUCAGCCCCAUCCACUGAAGAAGGAAGAGACUCCAGGUCUCUAAUUUUGACAUGAAGUUCUGAGUAAUCCUUUAGGAAAUACAGCCACCAGCAUAGGGCCCCUGAUGAUUUAUUGCAGCACUACAGUGAGAGCUCACUGACCGGUGCCAUGUAUCGUAGAACCCUACAAACAGAAGUGAUUCAGCAGCCAAACUGCAUCAUUACCAACACAGCAAGCAGCAGACACUGAUUUUAUUUUUUCCACUAAACCUACACUACUUAAUUUCUGAUUCAGUAACUAUUCUCACAUACAAAUGAAGGGAAACACGUGACUGAAAUAUCUUAGUUCCCUUAAUAAUAAGUUCUCCUUUCACAUUUCAAAAGCCACUGGGAAGGCAAUUUCUAAAAUCAACUCAAACCACAAGAUCUGUAGCAGAUAGCAAUUGUGCCUCGCCUUCUCCCCUUCCCAUUUCCUUCCUGUUCUUCCUCAUUCUUUUUUUUAAGAUCCUGUCUCCAAAUCUAACAACUUCACUUAUGGGAGGAAAUAGAAAGCCAAGGGGAAGCUGUGGCAUUUGUCAGACUACAAACAGCGCUACUGCAAACCACUCUUUGAGCCACAACUGCUAUUCCUCAUCAGACGAGAUGAGAAGCCACUUCAAACACAAGGAAAAAACCGAACUCUUUAAAAUACACCCACAUCAGGGGCAUUAAUCCAGGAAUGGGUUUGACCUUCUGCUUGCAACAAUUAUUUAAACUCAGUAAGGCCAAAGAACACAGACUGUUUGCCUACAGCAUUCAGGGACUGAAUGGAGUGACCCCAAACCUCAUACCAAGCUGAGAGCCACAGAUUUCCAGGCAGCAUGAUUCAGAAGAGACAGCUUCACCUGCCUCUGUGUGCUUUACUGUACAUUGGUCACACAAGCCUUCCCCAUCGCACACAGCAGCUGUGAGGGACUGCAGGUGGACCAUGCUGUUGGGAAUAACUGAAUAAAAACUGGGAAUGGAGCAGCAAUGGAAGACAAGGAAAUUAGGACACUUCUGUCUGUUCAUUGUUCAAGCAGGGAGAAACAAGACUGGCAAUUAAAGGAACCGUUCAGGACUAGACACCUUCCUUUUGCUUCCUCCUCUUCUAAUCUACAGCUCAUGAGCUGCUUCUUUACUCAUUGCAAAAGGUCCGUAAUUGUAACACUGCCACAUUCUCCUGGAAAUCUACUUAAAUGGCAUAUGAUAGAAGGGCAUCCGAGGACAUAUGAUGGAAGUCUAAUUAAUUGACAAUACAUUCCUCUCAUCAGGGGGAGAGCUGGAAUGCUGCUUUGUUCGGAAGAAAAAUAUGCACACUGCAUUAUGUUUAUUGUUAACUCCACCGUACCACUGACCAUCCUCCUUCUUCAUUGUUACCUCCUGUUCCUUAGAGCAGAUAGAUUAUUUGAUUUACAUAUCCAUCUGGCACUAAGUUUGAUAGCCACGAGUAUGUGUGUUAGUCCACAUACUCUUCAGUUUUCAACUUUACAAAGUACCCUUAUGCCUGUAUGAAGCAGGUCUACAAUUCUGCCACCGAAAAGGAAAACAGGCUGUUCUUACUUGGGAAUCAUUAUCAUUAAUAUGUGAUGUUUUUCCUAGAGAAGCACCAAACAGGUAAAGAAUCGACCAUUGCGGAGUGGUGUCCACUAACUGUAUGCUGGGUGUGAGUCAGCACAGUUUGUGGGUUUACAUCAGUUGAAAGUGUGCACUUCCAGCUGCAACAAGAUCUAUGGGGCAGAGAAAUAAAGCAGCCUAAAGCAUAUACACAGCAGCUGUCCUAAAUGAAACUGAUGCGAUGGAGAAGCAAACCACCUUUACAAGAUAUGACCAGAAGCACCAGUCUUUGAAAUGCCUACUUUAAUUGUUAAAGCCUAGGAAAAACACCUUGAAAACCACCAUUUUAGCUAACUGUAAU
ensembl:lncRNA